rnacentral:rRNA from 1 species
UACGAAGGGGGCUAGCGUUGCUCGGAAUCACUGGGCGUAAAGCGCACGUAGGCGGCUUGUUAAGUCAGGGGUGAAAUCCUGGAGCUCAACUCCAGAACUGCCUUUGAUACUGGCGAGCUUGAGUCCGGGAGAGGUGAGUGGAACUGCGAGUGUAGAGGUGAAAUGCGUAGAUAUUGGGAGGAACACCGGUGGCGAAGGCGCUCAUCUGGCCCAAUACUGACGCUGAGGCGCGAAAGCUAGGGUAGCGAACGGG